GACAAUGAAGUUUCUACCUUGUUCUCUUAGUUCAGUUUUUUUGGAAGAAGCCCAUAACUAUGUCAUGAAGGCACAAAAGAGGCCCUAGGGAAAGAUCCAUAUGAGGAAGAAUUGGUCCAACAGCCAGUACCAGUUUGUCAGCCACGUGAGCCACCUUGGAAGUGGAUCCUUCAAGAUCUGUCCAACAUUCAGUUGAAUACCGCCCCAGCCACUAUCUGAAGUAACCUCAUGGGAUACUCUGUGCCAGAACUGCCUAGCCGAGCAACAGCAAAAGAAGAGGCCAAAUAUAGUGAUCUGAAGAUAAGAAGUUAUGUGGCAUACUAAGACACGGAGGAGGAUCCCACCCUGACUUGAUGAAAGCAUUUUGGUUUUAGUUCAGUUUUUUGUUUGCUUUAUGAGAAGGAGAUUAAAAAAGAAGACAGGAAGGAAGAAAAUAUCCACCUAGUGGUAGCCACACCUGGAAGGUUACGCCAACUAAGGAAAGAUUAUUGCCAACAUCA